GAGUUUGAUUAUGGCUCAGGACGAACGCUGGCGGCGUGCUUAACACAUGCAAGUCGAACGUGAUUUUUGUGGAAGUUCCUUCGGGAAUGGAAGCGAAAUGAAAGUGGCGAACGGGUGAGUAACACGUGAGCAACCUACCUUACACAGGGGGAUAGCCGUUGGAAACGACGAUUAAUACCGCAUGAGACCACAGAAUCGCAUGAUAUAGGGGUCAAAGAUUUAUCGGUGUAAGAAGGGCUCGCGUCUGAUUAGCUAGUUGGAAGGGUAAAGGCCUACCAAGGCGACGAUCAGUAGCCGGUCUGAGAGGAUGAACGGCCACAUUGGAACUGAGACACGGUCCAAACUCCUACGGGAGGCAGCAGUGGGGAAUAUUGCACAAUGGGGGGAACCCUGAUGCAGCGACGCCGCGUGAGCGAAGAAGGUUUUCGAAUCGUAAAGCUCUGUCCUAUGAGAAGAUAAUGACG
rnacentral:rRNA from 1 species